GAUUGUGGAGGUUGCUGGUUCUUGCAAAUCAGCUCUUCUUAAAUAUAUUAGCAGUCCUUUGCUGACGAUCAUUGGUAUGAUAAUUAUCUAUAUCAUUGAGAAACAGCCUCCCUAGUGGAGAGGUUCCGCUUCUAAUCGUCUUUAUAAGACAACUUGACAACUUUGACCUCAAAUCAGGUAGGACUACCCGCUGAACUUAA
rnacentral:misc_RNA from 1 species